AAUAGAAUGAAAGCCAUUAAAUGCAAAUACAUGGUAUUGAGACCAGUGUGUUUGUUAAUUGCAGGAGCUGCCAAGCCAAUCUGUUACUUUGCCAACUUUGUCUUGCUCUCCAUCAAGCUGACAAUGCCCCCAAGCUCUCUGGUGGAGUUCCCAGUGUGUCCUGGAUGUUGUGGGCUGUGAAGAGACUAUGAGUGGAGUCUGUGGACUUGAGACAUUUUUUUCUUUCUUUUUCUGCUGAUCCAACAGCAUUCACAAAAAAGACUAAACUGAAGAAUUGCUCUCUUCAUGGGUAAUUUGAAAUCCAAAUGCAGUAGAAAAUGUAUGGAUAAAAUAUAAGGUUUUCAUCAUGCUUCUUUGCGGCUUCUCCAUAAGCACUGACAGGAGACUGGGGGUGAAAAUUCCUUAUUAUUUUUAGUAACUGAAUUACUGAGGGGUCUCUAACUGGGGUGACAAAAGCUGAAACCCAAGUGCAGCGAGCACAAAUAAAGCAGAGGUCAAAUCCAGUGGAAAAUUAUUAUCUGCUUGUUUUCUGCUGGCUGUCCCAUGCCAUCCAGGAAAGGGAUUAACUGUGUAAGCCACUAGAAAUAAUCACUGGAACUACCCAGGGACACUAUAGUCUCCUUGACUGGAGGUCUCAGGAUGGGAUUGGACAGAUAAGAUAAUCUCAUUGAGGCUCCCUGUCCCACAAACAGUUGUACCAGAUAUCUUUUGAGGUCCCUUCCAACCUGGGCUGCUCUACAUUUCUGUGAAAUAAAUAUUCAAGUUGUAAAGAUAUCCUAA